rnacentral:rRNA from 1 species
CCUACGGGAGGCAGCAGUCGGGAAUCUUGCACAAUGGGCGAAAGCCUGAUGCAGCAACGCCGUGUGAGCGAUGAAGGCCUUAGGGUCGUAAAGCUCUGUUGUUAGGGACGAAGGGCGAAGGGUUAAUAGCCCUUAGCCUGACGGUACCUUUCGAGGAAGCCCCGGCUAACUACGUGCCAGCAGCCGCGGUAAUACGUAGGGGGCGAGCGUUGUCCGGAAUUAUUGGGCGUAAAGGGCGCGUAGGCGGCCUGGUAAGUCUGCUGUGAAACCUUGGGGCUCAACCCCAAGCGUGCAGUGGAUACUGUCAGGCUAGAGGAUGGUAGAGGCCAGUGGAAUUCCCGGUGUAGCGGUGAAAUGCGCAGAUAUCGGGAGGAACACCAGUAGCGAAGGCGGCUGGCUGGGCCAUUCCUGACGCUGAGGCGCGAAAGCAUGGGGAGCGAACAGGAUUAGAUACCCUGGUAGUCCAUGCCGUAAACGAUGAACACUAGGUGUGGGGGGAGUCGAAUCCCUCCGUGCCGAAGCCAACGCGUUAAGUGUUCCGCCUGGGGAGUACGGCCGCAAGGCUAAAACUCAAAAGAAUUGACGGGGGCCCGCACAAGCAGCGGAGCAUGUUCUUUAAUUCGAUGCAACGCGAAGAACCUUAC